ACGGAGGGAGCAAGCGUUGUUCGGAUUUACUGGGCGUAAAGGGCGUCUCUUCUUCUUUGAAAGUCAGAUGUGAAACCCCCCGGCUCAACCGGGGACCUGCAUUUGAUACUGCAAGUCUUGAGUACGGAAGAGGAGAGCGGAAUUCCUGGUGUAGCGGUGAAAUGCGUAGAUAUCAGGAAGAACACCGGUGGCGAAGGCGGCGCUCUGGUCCGAUACUGACGCUGAAGCGCGAAAGUGCGGGGAGCGAACAG
rnacentral:rRNA from 1 species